GACGAACGCUGGCGGCGUGCCUAAUACAUGCAAGUUGAGCGCUGAAGGUUGGUACUUGUACCGACUGGAUGAGCAGCGAACGGGUGAGUAACGCGUGGGGAAUCUGCCUUUGAGCGGGGGACAACAUUUGGAAACGAAUGCUAAUACCGCAUAAAAACUUUAAACACAAGUUUUAAGUUUGAAAGAUGCAAUUGCAUCACUCAAAGAUGAUCCCGCGUUGUAUUAGCUAGUUGGUGAGGUAAAGGCUCACCAAGGCGAUGAUACAUAGCCGACCUGAGAGGGGGAUCGGCCACAUUGGGACUGAGACACGGCCAAAACUCCUACGGGAGGCAGCAGUAGGGAAUCUUCGGCAAUGGACGAAAGUCUGACCGAGCAACGCCGCGUGAGUGAAGAAGGUUUUCGGAUCGUAAAACUCUGUUGGUAGAGAAGAACGUUGGUGAGAGUGGAAAGCUCAUCAAGUGACGGUAACUACCCAGAAAGGGACGGCUAACUACGUG
rnacentral:rRNA from 1 species